CGGGUGAGUAACGCGUGGGUAACCUGCCUUAUACAGGGGGAUAACAGUCAGAAAUGGCUGCUAAUACCGCAUAAGCGCACAGAGCUGCAUGGCUCAGUGUGAAAAACUCCGGUGGUAUAAGAUGGACCCGCGUUGGAUUAGCUAGUUGGUGAGGUAACGGCCUACCAAGGCGACGAUCCAUAGCCGGCCUGAGAGGGUGAACGGCCACAUUGGGACUGAGACACGGCCCAGACUCCUACGGGAGGCAGCAUG
rnacentral:rRNA from 1 species